CUGACGAGUCCCAAACAGGACGAAACAGUUGUC
rnacentral:hammerhead_ribozyme from 1 species